rnacentral:rRNA from 1 species
CCUACGGGAGGCAGCAGUGGGGAAUAUUGCACAAUGGGGGAAACCCUGAUGCAGCGACGCCGCGUGAGUGAAGAAGGAAUUCGUUAUGUAAAGCUCUAUCAGCAGGGAAGAAAAUGAGGGUACCUAAGUAAGAAGCCCCGGCUAACUACGGGCCAGCAGGCGAGGUAAUACGUAGGGGGCAAGCGUUAUCCGGAUUUACUGGGUGUAGAGGGAGCGUAGACGGCAGUGCAAGUCUGGAGUGAAAGGCGGGGGCUCAACCCCCGGACUGCUCUUGAAACUGUACGGCUGGAGUGCAGGAGAGGUAAGUGGAAUUCCUAGUGUAGCGGUGAAAUGCGUAGAUAUUAGGAGGAACACCAGUGGCGAAGGCGGCUUACUGGACUGUAACUGACGUUGAGGCCCGAAAGCGUGGGGAGCAAACAGGAUUAGAUACCCUUGUAGUC